rnacentral:rRNA from 1 species
CCCUAGUAACUGCGAGUGAAGCGGGAAAAGCUCAAAUUUAAAAUCUGGCGGUCUCYGGCYGUCCGAGUUGUAAUCUAGAGAAGUGUUAUCCGCGCUGGACCGUGUACAAGUCUCCUGGAAUGGAGCGUCAUAGAGGGUGAGAAUCCCGUCUUUGACACGGACUACCAGGGCUUUGUGAUGCGCUCUCAAAGAGUCGAGUUGUUUGGGAAUGCAGCUCAAAAUGGGUGGUAAAUUCCAUCUAAAGCUAAAUAUUGGCGAGAGACCGAUAGCGAACAAGUACCGUGAGGGAAAGAUGAAAAGAACUUUGGAAAGAGAGUUAAACAGUACGUGAAAUUGCUGAAAGGGAAACGCUUGAAGUCAGUCGCGUUGGCCGGGGAUCAACCUUGCUUUUGCUGGGCGCACUUUCCGGUYGACGGGUCAGCAUCAAUUUUGACCGGUGGAUAAAGUCUAGGGGAAUGUGGCAUCUUCGGAUGUGUUAUAGCCUUUGGUCGCAUACAUCGGUUGGGAUUGAGGAACUCAGCACGCCGCARGGCCGGGUUUUUAACCACGUACGUGCUUAGGAUGCUGGCAUAAUGGCUUUAAUCGACCCGUCUUGAAACACGGACCAAGGAGUCUAACAUGCCUGCGAGUGUUUGGGUGGAAAACCCGAGCGCGUAAUGAAAGUGAAAGUUGAGAUCCCUGUCGUGGGGAGCAUCGACGCCCGGACCAGACCUUUUGUGACGGUUCCGCGGUAGAGCAUGUAUGUUGGGACCCGAAAGAUGGUGAACUAUGCCUGAAUAGGGUGAA